GAUAGUGUAGAAAGAGGGAUUGGAAACGGGAUCACGUGGGCUUAUCAAGUGUGUGUAAUAAACGCAAAGGCCAGUGGACAAUCCAGGCUUCGAUUAACGCAGCUACAAGCGCUAAAUUACGCACGUUCAGAGAUACCAAAGACAAGGUUUUCUCCUAUUCUUGGACAAAGGGUUGGAGAAUGAAUACCUGGACGACUGGGACACUGGGAAAAAUCUGUUUCUAGCCGUAAGGAGCUUAAGAUGCUGUAGUGAUGCCACAAGGACUGAAGUUCACAGUCAGAUACGUAUAUAUAUAUACAAUGUGUAUUGUAAACCUAAAACUCCCCUCGUCCCUUUGCAGUCAAAUCAUUCAUUGACAUGGUAGGGGACCUGUUCAUCCUCCCUGACGCAAGUGCCUUUCUGAGUGAGCGAAUCGGCUAGAACCCUCUCGAAGUGUUUUUAACUAUAUUUCUAUUUGAUGCACAUAAUUAUUUUUUUACGUGUGAUCAAACAACCAUAAUUAUAAUUAUGAAUCGAA